rnacentral:rRNA from 1 species
CUACCAAGGCAAAGACGGGUAGGGGGCGUGAGAGCGUGGCCCCCCACACUGGUACUGACACACGGACCAGAUGCCUACGGGUAGCAGCAGCUAGGAAUAUUGGGCAAUGGGCGAAAGCCUGACCCAGCAACACCGCGUGAAGGACGAAGGCCUUCGGGUUGUAAACUUCUUUUCGAGGGAAAGAGAAAGGACGGUACCCUCGGAAUAAGGCCCGGCUAACUACGUGCCAGCAGCCGCGGUAAUACGUAGGGGGCAAGCGUUAUCCGGAUUUACUGGGCGUAAAGCGCAUGUAGGCGGUCGAUCAAGUCGGAUGUGAAAGCUCCUGGCUUAACUGGGAGAGGUCAUUCGAAACUAGUCGGCUGGAGGGUGGUAGAGGAGAGCGGAAUUCCAGGUGUAGCGGUGAAAUGCGUAGAUAUCUGGAGGAACACCAGUGGCGAAAGCGGCUCUCUGGACCAUUCCUGACGCUGAGAUGCGAAAGCCAGGGGAGAGAACGGGAUUAGAAACCCCGGUAUUCCUGGCCGUAAACGAUGUCAACUAGGCGUAGGAGGUUAUAAACCCCUUCUGUGCUGUAGCAAACGCGUUAAGUUGACCGCCUGGGGACUACGGCCGCAAGGCUAAAACUCAAAGGAAUUGACGGGUCCCCGCACAAGCAGCGGAGCGUGUGGUUUAAUUCGAGGCUACGCGAAGAACCUUACCAGGGUUUGACAUGCUAGUGGUAGUGAAGCGAAAGCGGAACGACCCUUCGGGGAGCUAGCACAGGUGCUGCAUGGCUGUCGUCAGCUCGUGUCGUGAGAUGUCAGGUUAAGUCCUGUAACGAGCGCAACCCUCGUCGUUAGUUACAAGUGUCUAACGAGACUGCCCGUGAUAAGCGGGAGGAAGGUGAGGAUGAUGUCAAGUCAGCAUGGCCUUUAUAUCCUGGGCUACACACACGCUACAAUGGCCAGUACAAUGGGUUGCCGAGUCGCGAGACGGAGCCAAUCCCGCAAAGCUGGUCUCAGUUCGGAUUGCAGGCUGCAACUCGCCUGCAUGAAGUCGGAGUUGCUAGUAACCGCGCGUCAGCACAGUGCGGUGAAUACGUUCCCGGGGAUUGUACACACCGCCCGUCACGUCAUGGAAGUUGGCAACGCCUGAGGUCGGUGAGCUAACCCGCAAGGGAGGCAGCCGCCCAAGGUGGGGUCGGUAACUGGGACGAAGUCGAAACAAGGUAGCCAUACCGGAAGGUGCGGCUG